rnacentral:lncRNA from 1 species
GUCGUGUCUCAGCCUGGAGAGUGCGCGCACCGCCGCCCGGGCAGCCGCUGGCUCCAGCUCACGAAACAGCCCCGGGCGCCGCGCCGCUCCGAGUCCAGCCUCCUACUGAGAACAGUCCCUCCCUUGUGCGGGUCGCACGGCUAGCCGCAGGUUCGGCCACGUCAAAUCCAUUUUCUAAAAAAGCAGGGAGCAGAGCUCUCUCUUCGCCGCCGACGCAGAAAGGAGCUGGGGAGGAAAAAGCUGCUGCCUUUUGCGCUGGAGAUUCGUGGGCAAGGCUUCUCAUUUUCCCAGGCUGCUUCCCCUCCCGGGUGAGGAGCGUCCUAAGACUAAGGAAAGAGCCUGGAAAAUGGAGCAGACCUGGACGAGGAUGAAGACUUAGUGCUGGACCAAAAACAAAACAAAACAAAGAUCCCGAAACUUAAAGAAAUUGUUGUGGAUGCACGAUGAUUUUGUAGCUCACUGUAGCUAUUGGGGACUUAGCACUCCAGAAAACAGCCUCUCAG